UCUCAGUCAUUCAAUCCAUAAUCAAUAAAACAGUAAAAUAUGCACACGAAACUAUAAAAUGAAAACAUCAAAUCUCAUACUGCAUUUGAAACUGUAAAAUAGGCCAAUUAACAGUUAACCGACAAACACACUAGACUCGGGCUCCAUUAGCGACCUUAAGCAAUUUCACACAUUCGUUGAUUCAAGAAAUACCGUUUUAUCAUUAUUGAACUUAAAUACCGU
rnacentral:lncRNA from 1 species